GAUGAACGCUGGCGGCGUGCCUAAUACAUGCAAGUCGAGCGAACGGACGAGAAGCUUGCUUCUCUGAUGUUAGCGGCGGACGGGUUAGUAACACGUGGAUAACCUACCUAUAAGACUGGGAUAACUUCGGGAAACCGGAGCUAAUACCGGAUAAUAUUUUGAACCGCAUGGUUCAAAAGUUAAAGACGGUCUUUCUGUCACUUAUAGAUUGAUCCGCGCUGCAUUAGCUAGUUGGUAAGGUAACGGCUUACCAAGGCAACGAUGCAUAGCCGACCUGAGAGGGUGAUCGGCCAAACUGGAACUGAGACAAGGUCCAGACUACUACGGGAGGCAGCAGUAGGGAAUCUGCCGCAAUGGGCGAAAGCCUGACGGAGCAACGCCGCGUGAGUGAUGAAGGUCUUCGGAUCGUAAAACUCUGUUAUUAGGGAAGAACAUAUGUGUAAGUAACUGUGCACAUCUUGACGGUACCUAAUCAGAAAGCCACGGCUAACUACGUG
rnacentral:rRNA from 1 species